GCAUUAUUUGUUAUUCUGUAUGUAAUCAUCAAAUAUUCUAUUUCAAGUAUAUUUGUAUUUUGGUAUAUAUUUUAUGUACUUUUGAAAAAUUCUACAAACAUGUAUCAUUUUAUAAUGAUAUCAAAGUUAUUGUUUUAUCCUUUCAACCUUUGUUUGCAUGUACCUCUAAUAUCAUGUACCACUGUUCAUACAAUAUUUAAAAUAAUAUUCACUCUAAUUGAAGAUUAGGGAUCGUGGAGUUUUGAGAAUUAACUAUAAUGAAGAUAAAUAAUUGGUAUUACUGCAGGUCAAAACAACUGUAUUUUAAAUUAUUUGAUAUCAAAACUCUAAUUUUAUAACUUUAACAAAUAAAUUAGUAUUUCAAUUAAUAUUUUAUAAAUAUGGACAGUGUCAUAUGAGGUAAUUGCAUUCAAACAAAGUUGUUGGAAAUAGUAAAACAAUUUUUCUGAUAUUAUUUUAAAUAGAUAUAUAUGGAUAUUCGUAAGCAUUUUAUGUUUUAAAACUUAAGAUAUGUACCAACACAUAAUAUUAUAGCUAAUUAAUAUAUUUUAUUCAUUCAGUUUUCUUUGUAUUUGAUUUGUAACAAAUCUUCCAUAAAAUAUAAAUUUGUAUCAUAAUACAAAAACAAUGAAAUUAUGAUAGAUUAUGACAAAAUAGUAUGCUUGCCAAAUUAGAUAUUUAAAACUUUGUCAAGCAUAAAAUGUUUUGUUCUUCAUGAAAACCCUUGUUUCUGUAGUUUCAUACUGGUUAUGUGUGGUUUAAUGAAUGAUUGGUAGGUGCAUAGCGAUAAAUUACUUCAUGAAACAAACUGUUGUUAAUGCUUGCGGAACCAUUGGUCUUCUUCAUGCUAUUGGCAACAUUACCUUUGAAAUCAAGUUUUUUAAGUCUGUUAACAUCUCUCUCUAUGUGCUUCACCUUGAGAUCAAAGUAUGCAAAAUCCUUGAGGGUAAUUAUUUUCUCCUUGCUUAGCUGAAGGAUAAGUUCUUGGAUAAGUUCUUCAAACAACUGCCAAUAUGAUUCCUAUGGAGUGUGGAAGGUUUCUUGAGAAACGACAGUGAGAUAGAUGAUGCUUAUUAUGUAGCUGCUACAGCUGGUGAAACACCGGCUUCACACUGAACACACUUCAAAGCCAAUAUGACUCCUAUGGAGGUGUCUCGUGGAAGGUUUCUUGAGAUAUCUAGUCAAAUAGAAGAUGGUACUCUUCUUCAGGCAUCAGACUACGUGAACAUCCAUUUCAUCUGUGUAACUGAUGUGGAUGUAGAUGGUAACAAAUUCUCAUAUCAACAAGAAUAGGAAUACUUAAAUUAUCAAACUCCAUUUUUCGUUGCUUUUUGAGAUGAGUGAUUGAUCUUGGAUGAGGUCUUCAAAAGCAUUGCAAAGGUGUCUCUAGGAGUGGGCAAAAAUUCCGAACCGAACCAAACCAAACCGACCCAACCAAACCCAAACCAAUCCAAACCAAACUGAAGUAUAUGUCUAACCCAUUUGGUUCAAGAUUUUAUCAACCCAAAUGGUUUGAUUUGGUUUGGUUUUAAACCAAACCAAACCAAAAAACUGAAGUAUUUUUUUAAUUAGAUUAAUUAAUAUACUAAUAAUAUUAAGAUUUAAUAUAUUUAACUAUUUAGCCUAAACAACUAAACAUAAUUUUAUACAUUUUACUUUUAAAUGAAUAGAAUAAGUACAACUAAAAACAAACUAAAAGAAUAUGAAUCUCAUACAUUAACAUCAAAACGGAAAAGUUAUUUUAUGAUAUUUAUAUUAGAUUUAAAGAUAAUAAUAUAAAAUUAUUGAAUUAUAUUUUCUACAUAUUUAUUGUGAUAUUUGGUUUUACGUUUAAAUGUGAGAAAUAAUAAUUUAGUAUCAAAUGAUGAUUUGUUUAUGUUUUUAUAAAUCAUAUUUUUGUAAUUGAACUAGAAUUAAACAAAAAAUUAACUCGGUUGAACUGAAAAAUACAGACAAAACCACAUUAAACCGAACCGAACCAAACACAAACCAAACUGAACUAAAAUCGAACCGAACACAAACCGAACUGAAGUAAAACCGAACUAAACCGAACAUAAACGAAACCAUACUAAUUUGGGCUGACUUUGGUUCAAGAUUUCUUAGACCCAAAUAAUCCAAACCGGACUCAAACCGAAAUGCACACCCCUAGGUGUCUCUAAUAUCUUUUAUUUUUAGAUUUGAUAUUUCUGAAAUCUAAUUGUUUUUGUUUUGGUUAGGGGCUUCUUGAAAUAAAAAUUCAUAAAGAAGAUGCUCAUUCAGCCGGUGCAACACUGACAAAUUCAGACGACUUGGGCAAUCAUUUCAUCUGUUUCGUUUGUGUUGAUGGUCAAGAUGGAAGGAAAGCAGGGCCAAUUUCACAUGGUGCUUCCUCUCUAGCUACCCUGUUGAAGUGAUCAAGAAGAUUAUUGAGAAGAAUCCUGACACGCUCAACUUCAACGUGAUAGCUAUCUCUAAGAGAACCUGAGCUGCUCUUAAGAAGCAUAAGUUUAUAAACUCUUGUUUCUCUUUAUCCGGUUCUUGAUAAUCUACUUGUUUCUUGUUCUGUUCUCUUGAGAUCAUAUCUUUUGAGAGGAAU